rnacentral:rRNA from 1 species
GCGCAGCAGGCGCGAAACCUCCGCAAUACACGAAAGUGUGACGGGGCCAUCCCGAGUGCCGUCCGCUGAGGACGGCUUUUCCCCAGUGUACACAGCUGGGGGAAUAAGGAGAGGGCAAGCCUGGUGUCAGCCGCCGCGGUAAUACCUGCUCUCCGAGUGAUGGGGACGCUUAUUGGGCCUAAAGCAUCCGUAGCCGGCUGGGCAAGUCCUCCGUUAAAUCCAACGAUUCAAUCGUUGGGCUGCGGGGGAUACUGUCCAGCGUUGGGGGGCGGGAGAGGCCGACGGUAGUUCCCGGGGUAGGGGUGAAAAGUCCUAUAA